rnacentral:rRNA from 1 species
GUGGUGGAUGUCUUGGCAACAAGAGGCGAUGAAAGACGUGUAUUAGACUGCGAUAUGAUCCGGAGAGCUGUCAAAUAAGCUUUGACCCGGUUAUUUCUGAAUGGGGCAACCCAGCUGCUGGAAACAGUAGUUACUUGCGACUGAGUAAAGUAGGUCGUAUAGAGCGAACCGAGGGAACUGAAACAUCUAAGUACCUCGAGGAAAAGUAAUCAAUUGAGAUUCUGCUAGUAGCGGCGAGCGAACGCGGAACAUGGCCAAACCAGCAUGCUUGCAUGUUGGGGUUGUAGGACCUGCAUAAGGGAAGUUUAGGGAAGGAGAAUUGUCUGGGAAGGCAAGCCAAAGGGAGUGAAAGCCUCGUAUCCGAAUCUUUAAAUUACUGGCGGGUAUCCUGAGUAGGACGGGACACGUGAAAUC